UAUUUUAUUACCUCAAGAUUUAAAAAUAUGUUUGUUUUGUUUUUUAUUAAUGAAAUUAAUUUAAUUAUAUCCCUAUACAAUUUAUAUUAUUAAAAAUAUAUAAGUUCAACUAUAACUAAAAAUAUUGUAAAAUAUAUGAUUAUAUAAAAUCUACUUGUAACGGAUAAAAUUAUUAAAAAGUGUUCAGUAACAUUGUUAUUAUAUAGUAAUUUCUGAUAAAAUAAUGCUUACAACAAUUUAUAAAAUAAUUUUUGUUUUCUUUUUUAUAGGGACAUGGACUAAUAGCAGUAAAGCUCAGCUAGGAAAUAUACUAAGAGCAAAAUAUGGCAGAGCACUGGCUCAACAUGAUAUCACUCCAAACGAACGGAAUGACCAUUCUUAUGUAGCACAUAAUGACAAUAAUCACUUUAUUAAACAUUCUGAACAAUAUAUAAAUAGUGAUAAUGAUCCAAAUGAGUAUAUGCUCCAAAUUGAUGAAUAUAAUAAAAAAAAAUCAAUUUAUUUAACAGAUAUUAAAAAAGAAUUAAUUGAAAUGCUAGCUAACCGAAAUGAUCCCCAAAUAAAUAAUAUACUAAAAAAAAAUACAAACAUACAAGAAAAGGAUUUACUAAAAAUAUAUGAUAUUAUUAAACAUGUCAUGUCAAGUGCAGAAUAUUUACAAAUUAUAAAUGAAAGUUGUGAGAUAUUGAAAAAUAGGCUCCAUAAUAAUAAUGACCAUGCUGAUACAUACUACAACUCGAUGUUAUACUUACUCAAUACAUAUUUCUUUCUUACUAACAGUAAAAAAGAUUUUAAACGACUCUUUAUGCAAUUACAACAAGAUAAUCGGGAACAACUAAUAUUUAAAAAAGAAAAAUUCAAACUCAAAACGAAGUAUUUAAAUAUAUUUAAACUUGGUAAAAAAAUAAAUAAACAAUUUAAAACUAUGUUACUUAAACAAAUAAUAAAAGAAGAAAUACAUCCAAAUGUAAGCUUGUCACUUAGAAAAAUAUUUAAGUUAUUUAGUUAUGCAUUGUUUAAUCCAUCAUUGAUUUCUGUAUUUUUUCUUGUAACUGGAUUUAUUGGGCCUGGUUUCUUCAUGUUACCAUUAAUAGGACUGUAUUUAUGCGCAUUUAUACAUUCUAUGUAUAAAAUUAUUAAAGAUAUAGAUUCCAUAAACCAAAUUAUACAAGGGUCAAAACUAUCAAAGAGAGAACACCUUAUUUAAUAAUAAAUACCAUAAACAAAUUGUAACA
rnacentral:lncRNA from 1 species